GAAAUGAGAACAUUAUAAACUGUCUCAAACUUAAAUAUUUAAUCCUCAUCCAAUAGAAAUGGAGGAGGUUGUAUCAAACAGAUUCAGAAAUUAGACUCACAGUAGCAGGGAAGUCAAGACGUUUCACUUUUUGUAACUGAUAAGGGUUAAUUACUACAAUAAGUAACGGUGGAACGGAUGAGUGAUAUGGAAAACGAGCAGUUGAGAGUGAAUGAAACGUAGAUGGAGAGAAGCCAUAAAAAAGUAAAGAAUUCAAGCUGUACUUACAUGAACCUAAUAAAUAAAUGGGAUGAGCCAGAGAUUCCUGGAUCACUGGUUUUGUCAAAACUAAAUAUUUGUAAGUUAUAUAUGCUAAGGUCAUAUGAGAAGGAGAUAAGUACUGUAUACCAUGCGAGGAACAGAGUUGUACUUAGGUCAUAGGAGGAGGACAUAAGUACUGUAUACCAUGUGAGGAACAGAGGUGUACUUAGGUCAGAGGAGGAGAUAAGUACUGUAUAUCAUGUGAGGAACAGAGUUGUACUUAGGUCAUAGGAGGAGGACAUAAGUACUGUAUACCAUGUGAGGAACAGAGGUGUACUUAGGUCAUAGGAGGAGAUAAGUAUUGUAUACCAUGUGAGGGACAGAGGAGUAUUUAGGUCAUAGGAGGAGAUAAGUACUGUAUACCAUGUGAGGGACAGAGAUGUACUUAGGCCAUAGGAGGAGGAGAUAAGUAAUGUGUACCACGUGAGGGACAGAGAGUACUUAGGUCAUAGGAGGAGGAGAUAAGUACUGUAUACCAUGUGAGGGACAGAGGAGUACUUAGGUCAAAGGAGGAGCAAAUCAGGACUGUAUACCAUGUGAGGGACAGAGGAGUUCUUACAUAAUAGGUGGAGGAGAUAAGUACUGUAUACCAUGUGAGGGACAGAGGUGUACUUAGGUCAUAGGAGGAGGAGAUACGUAUUGUAUACCAUGUGAGGGACAGAGGCGUACUUAGGUCAUAGGAGGAGGAGAUACGUAUUGUAUACCAUGCGAGGAACAGAGUUGUACUUAGGUCAUAGGAGGAGAUAAGUACUGUAUACCAUGUGAGGAACAGAGGAGUACUUAGGUCAAAAGAGGAGCAAAUCAGGACUGUAUACCAUGUGAGGGACAGAGGAGUUAUUACAUCAAAGGUGGAGGAGAUAAGUACUGUAUAUCAUAUGAGGAACAGAGUUGUACUUAGGUCAUAGGAGGAGAUGAUAAGUACUGUAUAUCAUGUGAGGGACAUUGAGUACUUAGGUCACAGGAGGAGGAGAUAAGUACUGUAUACCAUGUGAGGGACAGAGGAGUACGUAGGUCAUAGGAGGAGGAGAUAAGUAUUUUAUACCAUGUGAGGGACAGAGGAGUACUGUACUUAGGUCAUAGGUGGAGGAGAUAAGGAUUGUAUAUCAUGUGAGGGACAGAGGAGUUUGUAGGUCAUAGGAGGAGGAGAUGAUAAGUACUGUAUACCAUGUGAGGGACAGAGGAGUACGUAGGUCAUAGGAGGAGGAGAUAAGUACUGUAUACCAUGUGAGGGGCAGAGGAGUACUUAGGUCAUAGGAGGAGGAGGAGAUAAGUACUGUAUAUCAUGUGAGAAAAAGAGGUGUACUUAGGUCAUAGGAGGAGGAGAUAAGUACUGUAUAUCAUGUGAGGGACAGGAGUAGGUAGGUCAUAGGAGGAGGAGAUAAGUACUGUAUAUCAUGUUAGGGACAGAGGUGUACUUAGGUCAUAGGAGGAGGAGAUCAGCACUGUAUAUCAUGUGAGGGACAGAGGUGUACUUAGGUCAUAGGAGGAGGAGAUAAGUACUGUAUACCAUGUGAGGGACAGUGGUGUACUUAGGUCAUAGGAGGAGGAGAUAAGGACUGUAUAUACCAUGUGAGGGACAGAGGAGAACUUCGGUCAUAGGAGGAGGAGAUAAGUACUGUAUACCAUGCGAGGAACAGAGUUGUACUUAGGUCAUAGGAGGAGAUAAGUACUGUAUACCAUGUGAGGAACAGAGUUGUACUUAGGUCAUAGGAGGAGAUAAGUACUGUAUACCAUAUGAGGGACAGAGGAGUACUUAGGUCAAAGGAGGAGGAGAUAAGUAUUGUAUACCAUGUGAGGGACAUAGGUGUACUUAGGUCAUAGGAGGAGGAGAUACGUAUUGUAUACCAUGUGAGGGACAGAGGUGUACUUAGGACAUAGGAGGAGGAGAUACGUAUUGUAUACCAUGCGAGGAACAGAGUUGUACUUAGGUCAUAGGAGGAGAUAAGUACUGUAUACCAUGUGAGGAACAGAGUUGUACUUAGGUCAUAGGAGGAGAUAAGUACUGUAUACCAUGUGAGGGACAGAGGAGUACUUAGGUCAAAGGAGGUGCAAAUCAGGACUGUAUACCAUGUGAGGGACAGAGGAGUUCUUACAUCAUAGGUGGAGGAGAUAAGUACUGUAUACCAUGUGAGAGACAGAGUUGUACUUGGGUCAUAGAAGGAGAAGAUAAGUACUGUAUAUCAUGUGAGGGACAGAGAGUACUUAGGUCAUAGGAGGAGGAGAUAAGUACUGUAUAACAUGUGAGGACCAGAGGAGUACUUCAGUCACAGGAGAUAAGUACUGUAUACCAUGUGAGGGACAGAGGAGUACUUAGGUCAAAGGAGGUGCAAAUCAGGACUGUAUACCAUGUGAGGGACAGAGGAGUUCUUACAUCAUAGGUGGAGGAGAUAAGUACUGUAUACCAUGUGAGGGACAGAGUUGUACUUGGGUCAUAGGAGGAGAAGAUAAGUACUGUAUAUCAUGUGAGGAACAGAGUUGUACUUAGGUCAUAGGAGGAGGAGAUAAGUACUGUAUACCAUGUGAGGAACAGAGGUGUACUUAGGUCAAAGGAGGAGCAAAUCAGGACUGUAUACCAUGUGAGGGAAAGAGGAGUACGUAUGUCAUAGGAGGAGGAGAUAAGUAUUUUAUACCAUGUGAGGGACAGAGGAGUACUUCAGUCACAGGAGAUAAGUACUGUAUACCAUGUGAGGAACAUAGGAGUACUUAGGUCAUAGGUGGAGGAGAUAAGUACUGUAUACCAUGUGAGGGACAGAGGAGUACUUAGGUCAAAGGAGGAGCAAAUCAGGACUGUAUACCAUGUGAGGGACAGAGGAGAUCUUACAUCAUAGGUGGAGGAGAUAAGUACUGUAUACCAUGUGAGGGACAGAGUUGUACUUAGGUCAUAGGUGGAGGAGAUAAGGAUUGUAUAUCAUGUGAGGGACAGAGGAGUAUGUAGGUCAUAGGAGGAGGAGAUGAUAAGUACUGUAUAUCAUGUGAGGGACAGAGGAGUACGUAGGUCAUAGGAGGAAGAGAUAAGUACUGUAUUCCAUGUGAG